rnacentral:rRNA from 1 species
GCAGUGAUGUGGAGCGAAACUCAAAAAAUAAGUCUCAGUUCGGAUUGAAGGCUGAAAUUCGCCUUCAUGAAGCCGGAAUUGCUAGUAAUGGCAGGUCAGCAUACUGCCGUGAAUACGUUCCCAGGCCUUGUACACACCGCCCGUCACACCAUGAGAGUUGGGAAUACCCGAAGCCUGUGAGCUAACUUUUAGAGGCAGCAGUCGAAGGUAGAAUCAAUGAUUGGGGUGAAGUCGUAACAAGGUAAC